CCUACGGGUGGCAGCAGUGGGGAAUAUUGCGCAAUGGGCGAAAGCCUGACGCAGCGACGCCGCGUGAGGGAUGAAGGUCUUCGGAUCGUAAACCUCUGUCAGCAGGGAAGAACGGUCACUGUGCUAAUCAGCAGUGAAUUGACGGUACCUGCAAAGGAAGCACCGGCUAACUCCGUGCCAGCAGCCGCGGUAAGACGGAGGGUGCGAGCGUUAAUCGGAUUUACUGGGCGUAAAGCGCUCGUAGGCGGUAUGUCAAGUCAAGGGUGAAAUCCCCGCGCUCAACGUGGGAACUGCCGUUGAAACUGGCAAACUGGAGUGUGUGAGAGGAUAGUGGAAUUCCAGGUGUAGGAGUGAAAUGCGUAGAUAUUAGGAGGAACACCGGUGGCGAAGGCUGCCUGCUGGACUUUGACUGACGUUGAGGCCCGAAGGCGUGGGGAGCAAACAGGAUUAGAUACCCCGGUAGUC
rnacentral:rRNA from 1 species